CGCAUCUGUGCAUGCAGCAUAUCAAUAAGCGGAGGAAAAGAAACUAACAAGGAUUCCCUUAGUAACGGCGAGUGAAGCGGGAAGAGCUCAAAUUUGAAAUCUUCAAGGUUUUACCUUGACGAAUUGUAGUUUAAAGAAGUGUUUUCUGUUGAAGUUUUGGUAAAAGUUCUUUGGAAUAGGACAUCAUAGAGGGUGAGAAUCCCGUAUUUGACCAUUAUUUUCAGCUGUGUGAUACACUUUCAAAGAGUCGGAUUGUUUGGGAAUGCAGUCCAAAAUGGGUGGUAAAUUUCAUCUAAAGCUAAAUAUUGGCGAGAGACCGAUAGCGAACAAGUACCGUGAGGGAAAGAUGAAAAGAACUUUGAAAAGAGAGUUAAACAGUACGUGAAAUUGUCAAAAGGGAAGCGUUUGACACCAGUGUUGUUUUCUCGAAAAUCAAUUAAAAAGAGUUUGAUUUUGUUGUGUAUUGACCUUAACAGCUUGCAUUUCAAUUUUCUUGCUUUUUUUAAUGCACUUUUCGUUUAACAAGUCAACAUCAGUUUCUUUUGUUGUAAAAAGGUCAUUGGAAGGUGGCUUUCUUUUCGGAGAAAGUGUUUAUAGCCUUUGACUCCUGCAAUCGGAGAGGCUGAGGUCUGCAGCGUAGAUCCUUCGGGGUUAGAUACAUUUGUGCUAAGUUAUAGCUUUUUAUAGACAACUUGUUGACUAUGAUUAGUCUUGUAGCUUACUCGCUUAUGCUAUUUUACCUACGCUUAGGAUGUUGAUGUGAUACUGCGAGCA
rnacentral:rRNA from 1 species